rnacentral:rRNA from 1 species
CCUACGGGUGGCAGCAGUGAGGAAUAUUGGUCAAUGGGAGAGAUCCUGAACCAGCCAAGCCGCGUGAGGGAAGACGGCCCUAUGGGUUGUAAACCUCUUUUGUCGGAGAACAAAACCUGGGACGUGUCCCGUUCUGCGUGUACCCUACGAACCAGCAUCGGCUAACCCCGUGCCAGCAGCCGCGGUAAUACGGGGGAUGCGAGCGUUAUCCGGAUUUAUUGGGUUAAAGGGGUGCGUGGCCGGUCCGUUAUGUCAGCGGUAAAAUUGCGGGGCUCAACCCCGACGAGCCGUUGAAACUGGCAGACUUGAGUUGGCGAGAGGGACGCGGAAUGCGCGGUGUAGCGGUGAAAUGCAUAGAGAUCGCGCAGAACUCCGAUUGCGAAGGCAGCGUACCGGAGCAAGACUGACGCUGAGGCACGAAAGCGUGGGGAUCGAACAGGAUUAGAUACCCGUGUAGUC